AACGAACGCUGGCGGCAGGCCUAACACAUGCAAGUCGAGCGGAGCGGCUGACGGGUGAGUAAUGCCUAGGAAUCUGCCUGGCAGUGGUGGAUAGCGUCAGGAAAGGGGAGCUAAUACCGCAUACUAUCGGAUGAGCGUAGGUCGUCUUGGCUAGUUGGUGGGGUAAAGGGCUACCGACGCGACGAUGCGUAGCUGGUCUGAGAGGAUGAGCAGGCACACUGGAACAGAGACACGGUCCUGACUCCUACGGGACGAAGCAGGGGGGAAUAUUGGGCUAUGGGCGAAAGCCUGAUCCAGCGAUGCCGCGUGUGUGAAGAAGGUAUGCGGAUUGUAAAGCACUUUAAUUUGGGAGGCGUUACCAGCAGAAGAAGCGCCGGCUAACUUCGUGCCAGCAGCCGCGGUAAUUC
rnacentral:rRNA from 1 species